rnacentral:rRNA from 1 species
AGUGGAUGGGGAGCAACCUAGUUGUGCGUGUGUAAAGGUAGUGCCAAGAAAAGCGAUGAUCAUGUUGAAAAUCAAUUCCCGGUACCGAAACCGACACAGGUGGGCAAGUAGAGAAUACUAAGGGGCGCGAGGUAACUCUCUCCAAGGAACUCGGCAAAAUGACCCCGUAACUUAGGGAGAAGGGGUGCCACCGAGAGGUGGUCGCAGUGAAGAGGCCCAGGCGACUGUUUAGCAAAAACAUAGGUCUCUGCAAACUCGAAAGAGGAGGUAUAGGGGCUGACGCCUGCCCAGUGCCGGAAGGUUAAAGAAGUUGGUCAGUUUUAGGAUGAAGCUAGCGACUGAAGCCCCGGUGAACGGCGGCCGUAACUAUAACGGUCCUAAGGUAGCGAAAUUCCUUGUCGGGUAAGUUCCGACCCGCACGAAAGGCGUAACGAUCUGGGCGCUGUCUCGGAGAGAGGCUCGGCGAAAUAGGAUUGUCUGUGAAGAUACGGACUACCUGCAUUUGGACAGAAAGACCCUAUGAAGCUUUACUAUAGCUUGGAAUUGUGUUCGGGCUUCCUGUGCGCAGGAUAGGUGGGAGGCGUAGAAGGUAUUCUUGUGGGGAUACUGGAGCCAACGGUGAGAUACCACUCUCAGGAGGCUAGAAUUCUAACUUAAUUAAGGACAGUUUCAGGUGGGUAGUUUGACUGGGGCGGUCGCCUCCAAAAAGGUAACGGAGGCGUACAAAGGUUCCCUCAGGCUGGUUGGAAAUCAGUCGAAGAGUGCAAAGGCAGAAGGGAGCUUGACUGCGAGAAGUACAGUUCGAGCAGGGUGGAAACACGGUCUUAGUGAUCCGACGGUGCUGUGUGGAAGGGCCGUCGCUCAACGGAUAAAAGUUACUCUAGGAUAACAGGCUGAUCUCCCCCAAGAGUUCACAUCGACGGGGAGGUUUGGCACCUCGAUGUCGGCUCAUCGCAACCUGGGGCGGAAGUACGUCCCAAGGGUUGGGCUGUUCGCCCAUUAAAGCGGUACGUGAGCUGGGUUCAGAACGUCGUGAGACAGUUCGGUCCAUAUCCGAUGUAGGCGUGAGAAUAUUGAGAGGAGCCUUCCUUAGUACGAGAGGACCGGGAAGGACGCACCGCUGGUGUACCUGUUAUGAUGCCAAUUGUAAACGCAGGGUAGCCAAGUGCGGAGAGGAUAACCGCUGAAAGCAUCUAAGUGGGAAGCCCACCUCAAGAUGAGUAUUCUGGUGUAAGGUCACGGGAAGACGACCCGUAAAUAGGCACGAGGUGGAAGUGCAGAGAUGUAUGAAGCCGAAGUGUACUAAUAGACCGUCGGCUUGACC